AUUCCAGCUCCAAUGGCGUAUAUUAAAGUUGUUGCAGUUAAAAAGCUCGUAGUUGGAUUUCUGGCAGGAGCGACCGGUCGGCCCAUUGUGGUGUGUACUAGUGUUGCAUCUGGCCAUAUUUGUGGAGAGCGUGUGUGGCAUUUAUUUGUCGUGCUCGGGACCCGCAUCGUUUACUGUGAGAAAAUUAGAGUGUUCAAAGCAGGCUUAUGCCUUGGAUAUGUUAGCAUGGAAUAAUAAGAUAAGACUUUGGCGGUCUAUUUUGUUGGUUUGCACGCCAUUGUAAUGAUUGAUAGGGACAGUUGGGGGUAUUCAUAUUUAAUUGUCAGAGGUGAAAUUCUUGGAUUUAUGAAAGAUGAACUACUGCGAAAGCAUUUACCAAGGAUGUUUUCAUCG
rnacentral:rRNA from 1 species